rnacentral:misc_RNA from 1 species
GAUGAAGAACGCAGCGAAAUGCGAUAAGUAAUGUGAAUUGCAGAAUUCAGUGAAUCAUCGAAUCUUUGAACGCACAUUGCGCCCGCCAGUAUUCUGGCGGGCAUGCCUGUUCGAGCGUCAUUUCAACCAUCAAGCCCCAGGCUUGUGUUGGGGACCUGCGGCUGCCGCAGGCCCUGAAAACCAGUGGCGGGCUCGCUGUCACACCGGGCGUAGUAGAUUUUAUCUCGCUCAGGGCGUGCUGCGGGUUCCGGCCGUUAAAAAGCCUUUUUUACCCAAGGUUGACCUCGGAUCAGGUAGGAAGACCCGCUGAACUUAAGCAUAUCAAUAAGCUGAGGA